ACCCAGGACGACAAAGGCUCCUCUUCGCCUCUACAGGACUUCGCUUCUGACCUUGUGAACCUCCCUGAGGUAAAAUGACUGGAAACAAAUGUGGCCGUUCGGGAGGUGAAGUCGAACCCGUUGGCGUGGUACCCGCACAGGAAAUGACAUCAACGGGUCAAAAACUGAAAAUAUGUCGCCGGACGGACCGGUGGGAUGAGGCCGCCCUGGCCGCGAGGACGGAGCGGGGAUGCUUUACUUCAGUGGCUCGCUGAACUAGCCCACGCAAGACAGGUAUCAAAUCUGGUGGAGCUCCAGAAAAAUGAACACCUGCUGUCUGUAGAUGAGUCUGAAGCUCAGCUGGAGCUGCCGCACAGUCAGGAUUAUGACAGGAGAGGAGAACCAAAGAACUGAAGAAGAUGAAAAAGCAGCACAUAAUGGAGAAGUAAGCUGUGCGUCGGGCGACUGUAGAGAAGGUGGUGGGUGACCAGGAACUGUUGGGUGGUAUUUUCAGAAAGAAUCAUUUGCAGUUGACUCAACAGUGUUGGGCUCUACAGUGUUUGAAUGUGGUAAUGGGCAGCACUCUCACAGCCAGUUCUCUCAGAAUUUGUUGAUUGCAGCCAUAUUGCAUGGGGCUGAUGUUCUGAGGUUAGGUGAACCGCUAGCUCUAGCCUUUGUAGUAUCACUGUCGUGACUCAAUACAUGUGAAAUGUAACGUCUAUGUAAUUUUGCUGCCUUGAUUUAUUUACAAGCAAUGCCAUGAAAGUGUCUGAAGGCUUUGUCAUCACU